rnacentral:tRNA from 1 species
GUAGCUUAAAUCACUAAAGCAUAACACUGAAAAUGUUAAAAUGGAUAAACAAAUCCCGAGUGGCAACAAUCUA